rnacentral:rRNA from 1 species
UAGGGAAUCUUCGGCAAUGGACGGAAGUCUGACCGAGCAACGCCGCGUGAGUGAAGAAGGUUUUCGGAUCGUAAAGCUCUGUUGUUAGAGAAGAACGUUGGUAGGAGUGGAAAAUCUACCAAGUGACGGUAACUAACCAGAAAGGGACGGCUAACUACGUGCCAGCAGCCGCGGUAAUACGUAGGUCCCGAGCGUUGUCCGGAUUUAUUGGGCGUAAAGCGAGCGCAGGCGGUUCUUUAAGUCUGAAGUUAAAGGCAGUGGCUUAACCAUUGUACGCUUUGGAAACUGGAGGACUUGAGUGCAGAAGGGGAGAGUGGAAUUCCAUGUGUAGAGGUGAAAUGCGUAGAUAUAUGGAGGAACACCGGUGGCGAAAGCGGCUCUCUGGUAUGUAACUGACGCUGAGGCUCGAAAGCGUGGGGAGCAAACAGG